GAUGAACGCUAGCUACAGGCUUAACACAUGCAAGUCGAGGGGCAUCAUGUCGGUUGCUUGCAACCGAUGAUGGCGACCGGCGCAAGGGUGCGUAACGCGUGAGCAACAUGCCCUAUACAGGGGGAUAAUCCAGGGAAACUUGGUCUAAUAUCCCAUAGUAUUUAGAGGUGGCAUCACCACUAAAUUAAAGCUUCGGUGGUAUAGGAUUGGCUCGCGUGACAUUAGCUGGAUGGUGGGGUAACGGCUCACCAUGGCGAUGAUGUCUAGGGGUUCUGAGAGGAAGACCCCCCACACUGGGACGUGAGACACGGCCCACGACUCCUACGGGAGGGCAGCAGUGAGGAAUAUUGGACGAAUGGAUGGAAAUACUGAUCCAGCCAUGCCGCGUGCAGGAAGACGGCCCUAUGGGUUGUAAACUGCUUUUAUAUGGGAGCAAUAAGGUUUACGCGUAGACCGAUGAGAGUACCAUAUGAAU
rnacentral:rRNA from 1 species